UCUAGCAGAUUGCUAUUUUCCACCUGUAGUCCCUGGGCAGGUUGAUGGAAUAGUACAUAAAAACAUAAUAAUAACAAGUAAAAUUACAGAACAAAGAACAUGGAAGCAGAUUCAACAUGACAAGAUUUAAAGCUAGGCUGCUCCCCAACACACACACACACACACACACACACACACACACACACACACACACACACACACACACACACACACACACACACACACACACACACACACACACACACACACACAAUUCAUAAAUGUGUACACUCCUGUCCUGACAGUAGCCAACACUUGGCAAGAUGUGAGAAGGUAUGGGGACUUCUACAUGAAAUAAUGUCUGUUGGCAGAGUAUUCCAUGGAGUCAGGGCAAUACAGACAAAUGAUGACUUCCCAAAUACAGUUUUGCGUUGGGGUACACUACACUCACCCCUUGUUACAGAUCUUGUUGUUCGUGUUGACUUCUCAGAGCAGAGAGUAACAUAUUUUUUCAAGGGGGGAGCUACAGCAUUAUGAAUAAUUUAAAAAAGUAAGCAGACAUUUGAGUGCUUGAUCAGAUUCUCAAAGUUUAAAAUUUCAUAUUUGGAUUCAAGUGGUUUUAGAACUGUUUUAUUUGACUGAGACCAGCUUGUAAUACAAUAUAAAAGAUGUGGUAUAAUCAUAGCAUUCAGAUACAUACUAGAAGCCUCAACUGUGAGUGAAUUCCUUAUGUAUCUGAAGUUAGCUAGGUUAAAUUUCAGUGUGUUUCUCAGUUUUUUAACAUGUUUUUUAAAGCUAAGAGUUGAGUCAAGGGUAACACCCAAGUACUUGAAUACAGUAUAUCCACAUUGUCAAUUGUUGAGACAUUUACUGAGACAUUGGGGCAAUCCUUCAGUAUGCACCUGUUGGUGAAAAACAUGGUUACAGUUUUUUCUAGGUUUAAGGUGAGGCAUGAGUUUUGUAACCAGAGAGCAACCUUUUGCAUUUCUUGGCAACCUCUGUAGCGCUCUUACCAUGAGUAUAUAUGACAGUGUCGUCGGCAUACAUUAUUAUGCCGACAUCAUCACACAUGGAAGGC
ensembl:lncRNA